rnacentral:rRNA from 1 species
CAGCCGCCGCGGUAAUACGGAGGGAGCUAGCGUUGUUCGGAGUUACUGGGCGUAAAGCGCGCGUAGGCGGUUAUUUAAGUCAGGGGUGAAAGCCCGGUGCUCAACACCGGAACAGCCCUUGAGACUGGAUAACUUGAAUCCAGGAGAGGUGAGUGGAAUUCCGAGUGUAGCGGUGAAAUGCGUAGAGAUCUGGAGGAAUACCGAUGGCGAAGGCAGCCAUCUGGCCUAAUACUGACGCUGAGGUACGAAAGCAUGGGGAGCAAACAGGAUUAGAGACCCCAGUAGUCCCUGUCUCUUAUAC